AUUGAACGCUGGCGGCAUGCUUUACACAUGCAAGUCGAACGGCAGCGCGGGCUUCGGCCUGGCGGCGAGUGGCGAACGGGUGAGUAAUGCAUCGGAACGUGCCCAGUAGUGGGGGAUAGCGCGGCGAAAGACGGAUUAAUACCGCAUAAGACCUGAGGGUGAAAGCGGGGGACCGAAAGGCCUCGCGCCAUUGGAGCGGCCGAUGUCGGAUUAGCUAGUUGGUGGGGUAAGGGCUUACCAAGGCGACGAUCCGUAGCUGGUCUGAGAGGACGAUCAGCCACACUGGGACUGAGACACGGCCCAGACUCCUACGGGAGGCAGCAGUGGGGAAUUUUGGACAAUGGGGGCAACCCUGAUCCAGCCAUGCCGCGUGCGGGAAGAAGGCCUUCGGGUUGUAAACCGCUUUUGUUCGGGAAGAAAUCCUCUGGGCUAAUACCCCGGGGGGAUGACGGUACCGGAAGAAUAAGCACCGGCUAACUACGUG
rnacentral:rRNA from 1 species